GACCUGGUACGGUGGUCCGCCUUCACGGUGUGUACUGCUGGACCGGGUUCUACCUCUUGGUGAGCCGGCAUGCCCUUCACUGGGUGUGUCGGGGAACCAGGACUUUUACCUUGAAAAAAUUAGAGUGUUUAAAGCAGGCAUUUUGCUUGAAUACAUUAGCAUGGAAUAAUAAAAUAGGAC
rnacentral:rRNA from 1 species